rnacentral:tRNA from 1 species
GGGAGUGUAGCUCAGUGGUAGAGCAUUUGCCUAGCAUGCAUGAAGCCCAGGGUUCUAUCUCUGGUACUGCCC